AAAAUUAAUCGCAUUGUAAAUUUUGUUAGAAAACUAACUAGAUAUAUCUUAACUAGGACAGGGAUUUAUUUAGAAUUAUCCUUUGGAUCCAAACAGUUUUGUUAUGCCACGAUGACUUUAAAUGGUCGUAUAUAUGUGUUAAGCUUGUUGUCGAAGGUCUGUGGUUAUUAAUAACCCUGUUCUUUUUGGCAUUGAAAAUAACCACUAAAAGUUUUAAAGGAACUAUGUAGAUAACAUGAAUGUUGAAAUGAGGAAAACAGAACACGAGAAGUAUUCACUAGAAAGGGUUAUCUAUCCUGUAGUAUGCAUUAAAUCACGUGGCUACAGAUAAGGAUACACAACAUUAAACACAAGUUUGAAUGUUUGCAAGAUAUUCCAGACCAUGCAUGUAAACUUGUAUACUAAGUGGAGUUUUCCUAAAUCGUGUUAUUAUGAUUUCAUUAGUUUGAUAUUUUCAUGCCAUUGUUUUACCCUGAAAUUACCUUUUCUAUCCUGUAUAUACUUUACCCCCGUAUACAAAUAUGCAUUGAAGGCAGUACGGUGACCUAUAGUUGUUAAUGUCUGUGUCAUUUUGGUCUUUUGUGGAUAGUUGUCUCGUUGGCAAUCAUACCACAUCUUCUUUUUUAUAUUGUCUAAAUUUCUUGUGUACGUUAAGCCAUGGCAAUUUGACAUUUAUAUCUAUCAAACUGUUAUAAUAAUUCUAAUUUUUAUCGCACUUUAUCAACAGCUAUGCUUCCUUUUCUCUAAACGUUCACUGUGCAGCUUUAUAAAAAGACUUGUUUAAAUUGAAUAUUCUUUUUUCGUA
rnacentral:lncRNA from 1 species